UGGAUUUCCCCCGGCUGUCAGCUGCUCCAUCUCAGCCUAUCCUGGAAAAUGAGAAAGACGCGUCUCAGCCGCUUUGUAGCUCAGCCCUGCGUUACUAAGCCCUUGGCCAUCUCUUAACUACUGAGCGGCGAUCGGAGUUCACGGCCAUUCUACCCCAAGCAAGCGGUGGAUUGACUUGAAUUAUUUUCUUUGCAAAGUCUUGCUUUCGCAAGAGAGCUCAAUGAGUCCACUAAUUAAAAUUCCUUCGUCACAAACCUGCUUUAAUAAAUCACGGACUUCUUUUCCAAGGACUUGUCCAUAACCCCAGUGCACACUUGGUCUCCUGCCGCACUAAAACCCUUCAUCUUGUUUUAGCCCUACAUCUUAGGAGGUUAUCUGCAGUGGGUUUUGAUAACGAGCUCUGGUACAUACUGAUGAUUGUGGUGACGCAAAUGAGGUUUGCACUUGGCAUCGUGCGCUGGCACGAGUGACUUACAGUAAAAGCAAGGAACGCUUUGGAAGGACGAGCUGCAAUGUCACCCUCUGAAUGAAGAACUUGGAGUUUCUCAUGGUGAAUUGACAUGUCUUAAGAUCACAAUGCUAGUGGGUAGAAGAGCCAGGAUUUUAAACCCAGAAUUUCUGACUCCUAUAAAGUAUUAUAAAGGUCAUAAGAAGAAAGCAGUGGUUCAUCUGUGGAACGGGUACAGAAUCUGAUGACUGUGGGAGAAAACUAUAUGCCAUCUGAGGCUCUGGGGCCAAG